rfam:Danio rerio chromosome 14 genomic contig CTG1748, GRCz11 reference primary assembly.
CGCCACAGCCAUAUCACCCUGCAGCCCAAGCGUUUACUCACUGAAGCUAAGCAGGGAUGAGCCUGGUCAGUACCCAGAUGGAGGACCACAUGGAAAAAACGGGUUGCUGUUGAAA